rnacentral:rRNA from 1 species
AGGGAAUCUUCCACAAUGGACGCAAGUCUGAUGGAGCAACGCCGCGUGAGUGAAGAAGGUUUUCGGACCGUAAAGCUCUGUUGUUGGUGAAGAAGGAUAGAGGUAGUAACUGGCCUUUAUUUGACGGUAAUCAACCAGAAAGUCACGGCUAACUACGUGCCAGCAGCCGCGGUAAUCGUAGGUGGCAAGCGUUGUCCGGAUUUAUUGGGCGUAAAGCGAGCGCAGGCGGAAGAAUAAGUCUGAUGUGAAAGCCCUCGGCUUAACCGAGGAAUUGCAUCGGAAACUGUUUUUCUUGAGUGCAGAAGAGGAGAGUAGAACUCCAUGUGUAGCGGUGGAAUGCGUAGAUAUAUGGAAGAAUACCAGUGGCGAAGGCGGCUCUCUGGUCUGCAACUGACGCUGAGGCUCGAAAGCAUGGGUAGCGAACAGGAUUAGAUACCCUGGUAGUCCAUGCCGUAAACGAUGAGUGCUAAGUGUUGGGAGGCUUCCGCCUCUCAGUGCUGCAGCUAACGCAUUAAGCACUCCGCCUGGGGGAGUACGACCGCAAGGUUGAAACUCU